ensembl:lncRNA
AUUACCUGCGUCUGUGCCGCAUCUCUACUAGUAAAUACCGAAGCUGUGAGUUUAACUGUACGUUACUAUGGUUACAGCUGUUUAUAGGCAGUGCAUUAAUUUAAUUAAUUAAACUGACUGGAAUUAUACGGUUUUAGCGAACACCUUCCAGCCAAUUAGAAUCGAGUGUUCAGACAGAGCAGGGUAUGAGAUAAAGAUAAACUCAUAACUUUAUAAUGAUCCGAGAAACUCUUUUUUUUUUUUCAAAAAUUUUGCUCAAACUGCAUUGUCACUUGCAAUUGGUCAAUUUAUAGGCUGAAUCUAUAGACUGUAAAACCGGCUACGUUCAAUUAACUCCCAAAAUUUGAGGAAACUAAUGACCUUAAAGUUUUUACGUUAUAAAUAAAUCCAUUUCUUUUUAAUUUCUUACGGUAAUUAGUUUCCUCAAAAUUUUUGGAGUUAAUUGAGCUGAGCCGGUUUUACUGUGUAUCUGGACAAAUAGGAAGUUUGUAGUUUGCGUGCAAGUUGUUGAUCAAAGUGACUGAAAUAGUAGUUUCCACAAGCUUCUUGUAGGAAGAAUGUAGGAAGACACACACACACACACACACACACACACACACACACACACACACACACACACGUCAGUGGAAAAGCAGUGGGUGUGACUCUGUCACAAGGAGAGAUAGACCUACUGUAACUGACACUAUAGCUGUGACCCUACACCUUCUGAGGAAGUGAAGCAGAAGGAGCGUGUGUGUGUGUGUGUGUGUGUGUGUGUGUGUGUGUGUGUGUAUCUGGAAGACAAUGUCUCUGUGUCUGUGAUUUUUACAUGGCUUUUAGUUUUCAUGCUUUAUUUAUUUAAACUGCCAGCUCAUACUGUAUGACGAAACCAUGUGUGCUCUGUGGGGUGGGGGUGGGGGAGAGGUGAUGUGGGGUUUACGGAGGAAUUGUGUUUGGUUUUCUGAACAUAAUAUUUGCACAAGAGUGAGAACGUGUCAGCUGUGGUGUGACGGAGUAGGUUACUUGAUAUAUUUAUUGUGCAGUGAUCAUUUCCAUCACAACACGUGACCUUUUUGUUUUUUUUUUGUAGCACGGCGCUGUUUGGAUUCUGGAUUCUGAUUGGUCAGAAGGUGUUUAUUAAUUUUCUAUAAAAGCUCAAUAGUGGCAAUAGUGCAAGUGCAAAUUUAACGCUAGUAAUUAAAGUUUUAACAAAGAAAAACGUGGAAUUUUGGAUAAGGCGACGUUUUAUGUAUCUAUUUAACAGUUAUGGAUGUUAAACAGGCGACUGUUUAGCGCUGUGUAACAAAACCUUUUCUUUUAAUAACACUUAUUAAGCGUUCGGACGCUGAGUGAAGACACCAGUUGGUUAAGUUUAGCGAGCGGAAUUUUCCCCCAUUCAUCCGUUAUGCAUUUCUUCAGCUGCGCAGCUGUACAGCGCCUUUAUUGCCUUAUUUUGCGCUUUAUAAUGCACCACAUGUGCUCAAUGGGAGGCGGGUCAGGACUGCAGCGGACCACGCUCGCACCCGCACUCUCUGUUUACGUGACCAUGCGCUCGUAAUCCGGGCAGAAUGUGUUUUGUUGUUGUCCUGCUCUGGAUGGCAGCGUAUGUUGUUCCAAAAUGUGUA